AUUGAACGCUGGCGGCAGGCCUAACACAUGCAAGUCGAACGAGUGGCGGACGGGUGAGUAAUGUCGGGAAAACUGCCUGUUGGAGGGGGAUAAUUAUUGAAACGGGUAGCUAAUCCCGCAUAACAUCGGUGGGGCACGGAUGGGAUUAGUUAGUAGGUGGGGUAAAGGCUAACCUAGGCGACGAACCCUAGCUGGUCUGAGAGGAUGACCAGCCACACUGGAACUGGGACACGGUCCAGACGCCUACGGGAGGCAGCAUUGGGGAAUAUUGCCCAAUGGGCGCAAGCCUGAUGCAGCCAUGCCGCUUGUAUUAAGAAGGCCUUCGGGUUGUAAAGUACUUUCAGCGGGAAGGCGUUACCCGCAGAAAAAGCACCGGCUAACUCCGUGCCAGCAGCCGCGGUAAUAC
rnacentral:rRNA from 1 species